GCCAGUGUGGCAAAGUGGCUUGAAUGUUGGACUGUGACUCUGGAGACCAGGGUUCGAAUCCCGGCUCAGCCA
rnacentral:tRNA from 1 species